GACGAACGCUGGCGGCGUGCUUAACACAUGCAAGUCGAACGGAAAGGCCCUGCUUUUGUGGGGUGCUCGAGUGGCGAACGGGUGAGUAACACGUGAGUAACCUGCCCUUGACUUUGGGAUAACUUCAGGAAACUGGGGCUAAUACCGGAUAGGAGCUCCUGCUGCAUGGUGGGGGUUGGAAAGUUUCGGCGGUUUGGGAUGGACUCGCGGCUUAUCCGCUUGUUGGUGGGGUAGUGGCUUACCAAGGCUUUGACGGGUAGCCGGCCUGAGAGGGUGACCGGCCACAUUGGGCCUGAGGUACGGCCCAGACUCCUACGGGAGGCAGCGGUGGGGAAUAUUGCGCAAUGGGCGGAAGCCUGAUGCAGCAACGCCGCGUGCGGGAUGACGGCCUUCGGGUUGUAAACCGCUUUCGCCUGUGACGAAGCGUGAGUGACGGUAAUGGGUAAAGAAGCACCGGCUAACUACGUG
rnacentral:rRNA from 1 species